CCUUUACACCGCACAGUCAUAUUUGGUCCUCCGGAAAUCUCCACUGCUCGGAAUUAAAGAGGUAUGCCCCAAAAUGGAUUCUCAGUUGGCUACAGUCCUGACCAGUGGGAGCCUAAAUGUUCAAAAUGGCAGCCAGUGCACACAGAUAUCAGGGCCACUUUCCGAGGUUUGUUUAGAGCCAGAGGGAGAAGAGACCUCCUCCAGCACUGUGCCAGGUAACGUCCAGCCAUGCCCUGUACAAAUAGCACUGACCAUCAGGCAGGACUCACUGUCAAUCAAUGGAAAAAAGCCAGAGGGAGGCGGGACUUCAAAGCCAGCGUCCCACGAGACGAGUAAGAGUGGUGGAUUCAGGGAACCAAUUACAGUCAAGACCGGAGUGCCUAUUCUGCGCAGGGAGCCAAUCAGAAUCCGGAUAGUCGCUCCCCCACAGUGCAAAAGGCCAAUCACAGCCUCCGCCCUCAGCCUCACCAAAGACUUGACCCUCUCCUGUUUGAAAAAGCCUGCGGUGGUCCCAGCUGGAGAUCAAAACACAACCAAGAGUCAAACCAGUGUUAAAAGUGAGCCUAAAAUCAAGACGGACACUCAAACGACUGAAGAAGAACCUUUGAAAAGCAGAGAUACGGGCGAAAAAGUAAUUUACAAAGAGAAAGAUCUGUGUAAGGAUAAAAAUAAUAGUGAUGCUUUCGAGACCCUUCUUAUCUCUGAUGAUGAUACAGUUAAAAUACUAACCCAGUGUAAGAUUAAACAGGAGCCAGAGGAAGAUCUAGAGAAAAGCAUUCCUGUGUUUUGGGAAAGGAUGCAACUGAACGGCUUAAGGAUAAACGAUAUGGAAAUAGAGGAGCAGACCGAACCGCUGGACUUAAGUAUGCCGAAAAAACGCGAGAGGCGAUAUGGGCGAUUAUUGGAGGACUGGGGCGAGAGUUCACUUAUUAUGGAGGUAGAUGAGUAUGAAGGGGAAGGGGAUAGAGACAUUGUAGAAGAUGACAGUGACUUGGAGGUGUUUUGUACGAGUAAUUUACAACUGUCCUCAUCUCU
ensembl:lncRNA